rnacentral:lncRNA from 1 species
UUAACUAUAGUUUGUUCACUUAGAACAAGUGCAAGGGUUGCACUUGCAGUCAGAUCCACAUUUGCAGCCAUUCUCAGCAACAGGGGAUUCACCCAUCUCCAUGGCGCCGAAGCUUGUCUUCUCAGGUCCCACCCCAAGCACCAAAGUCUCGGUGGUUGUGAUGCUUUCGGUGUAGCUCAUGUCUGGGUACAUCUUGCAUCUACAACACCAAAAUCCACCACAAACACAAAAAAUAAGAAACUUAUUGAUACCCCUCAAAACAUCAAAGAAGAGGAAGCCUAAUCAGGGGCGGAGCUAGGUGGGGUUAGUGGAUUUGGACCCUAGCUUGUUCGUAGCUUUUCUGUAGACCCUAUAUUUGUAAUAGAAAAAUAAGUAAUAACUUGUGAAACUAACAAAACGGAUUGACAACUCAAUGAUAAGUAAGGGGAAGGAAAUUUAGAACCCAAACUCCUAAUACUGUUUCUGCCUCAACACAAAGUAAAGGAGAGCCAAAACCCAAAAAAAAAGAACUUUGUUGGGCAACACACAUACAAAAAAGGAACUUGUCACCGCGGGCGGACCUACAUAGAGUCCUCUGGGUGCUUGGGACUCAUUAAGCUAUAUAGAAAUUAAAAGGUAUUUGUGUAAAGUUAACAUAGAGCAUCCAAUGAACAGGCUCAUUGGCUCUUGAGUUGGUGGUUAAGGUUCUUUUAGUGUUGUUGAUCCUGAGUUUGAAUCUCAUCUAUAACAUGUCUUUUUUAUAAUUUUGACUCCACCCAGAGCUCACUUUUAAUGCGUCUUUUUUAUAUUUUUAACUCCACCAUUUUCGGAGUACCCACAACCAUAAAAUCCUAGAUCCACCGUUGCUUGUCACCAAUCCCUCAAAAUUAGCAUAUAAAUUGCCCAACACAACUAUUUUUGUGAUCCCAUAAUUUCCCAUCAAAAUUCAAUUUUGCAUUAAUCCAUGCAUGGAUCAUCCAGAACAGGAUAAAUGGGAUCAGAAUUUCGUUGUGCAAAAUUUUGAUAAAAAGUACCUAAACAAAAAACCGAGAAAUCACACAACAAAUCUCCGAUUAAAAAAUUCACUCCUUACACACAAAACGCAUCCAUGCAUGGAUGACGGAUCACAACAAAAACAGAAAAAAUCCUUAAUUAAAGUUCUCGAGUUCAAGCUAAUUAUAAAACGAAAAAUCUUUAGAGUGCUUUUUCCUCUCGCCUUUACACAGCGAAAAUUCAUUCAAAUUAAUCACCGUUCCAUACAGAUAUCAAACACCAGACGAGAAAUCAAAAAAAAAAAAGAAGAAAAAGGGGAUUUACCCUCCACAGCCACUGCCGCACUUGCAGCCAGAUCCACAGCCACAGUUUCCUCCACAGCAAGACAUGAUUGAUCUGAGAUUCAAAAAUUGAGAAAUCAAAUGUGUAUUGAUUGAUGUAGAAUGAGUGAUUGAGUGAAGAACCCUGAGUGUCUAUUUAUAGUGAAAUGGUGGUGGAGGAAGGGGUGAUAUCGACCGUAUACGUGUCAUGAUCGUAUGGGAAUAUGUUAUCCUUGUAAGUCGGUCCAUACAUGAUUUAUCUGUCCUUUUCUAUUAUCAUAAUCUGUUCCCUUAUCAUCACAAUUACCAUUCGUAACGCCGUAUGUUCCAGAUAUAUUUAUUUGUAUCGGGUGUUUAUGACUUAAUACUUCAUUCGUCAUAAUUUAUGUAGCACUUUUCGAGAUUCAAACGAUUCUAUCUUUGAUCGUAAAUUUUUCAUAUGUCUUUUAAUUAUUUUGAAUUGACAGUUACUGUGACUUAUAAUACUUUUUACAUAGUUUACAAAUAUAUAAAUUUCAUUUUAAAAAAAUUCAAGAUUCCACGGGCAUAUAUUCGGUCAUACUUAAAUUGUUUGACUUUCAAAAAAUUAAAAAUGUCACAUAAAUUGGGACAUAUGAAAUAUAUUUGUAAGGGUAAUUGAGUUAAUGUAGCAUAUGAAACGAUAUGAGAAAGAUUAUGGUUCAAUUUCAUUGGUUAAUGUCAUUUUAAUUGAUUAGGUUGAAUUUGUUUGAUAAGAUUUACAUUUUUAAUAUGAUUUGUGAGUUAUUAUAUUAAAGUAAGUUACUUAAUAUACUAUAAAAGAGUAACGACUACAAAUAAAUAUUUUUUAAAAAUUGAUAAUUAAAUUUAGAUAUUUAUGAUACUUAGAAAACAAAAAUAAUAAUAAUUUAAUAUAGGAGUACUUUAGCACAAUAAUAGGUAAUGUUUCCGUUUCAAGAUUUUUGUUUUUUAAUAUAUUAUUUCAAGUUUGAAACUUAGAAUUCUGAAUGGUUCAAUAAAGAUUAUAAUUCACAUGUGUUGGUAAUUAUAAUAAAGCUUAAAUCAAAAUCAAAUUAAUACUAAUACAAAAAGAAAAUCAAUUCAACACUAAAAAUGACAAUAAUAUUGAAUAUUUGUUUAUUAGUUUUACAUUAGUUUAGACAAUUCAAAUACAUAAUCUAAUUUUAAUUUUCUUUAAUAUUUAAUCAUGUAACUAAUACUUAUUAAAUUUAUUUUAGCAUGAUUUAGUACUUUCAAAUUAUGAUAAUUUUCAUUAUAACUUGUUAAUUUGUAAUAUUUGUUUUACGCAAUUUCAUUAUUAUUAUUUUUUGUUGGAUAUUUUAGUGUCAUUACUCAUAUCAUAUUUUGUGUUAUUUUCUUAAAAACACCUUAGAUAGUUAUAUUUUGAUAGGACUAGAGAAAUAUUUGAAGUACAAGUAAAUUAUAUGUUUGUAUGAAUACUUUACCGAAAAAACCUGAAAAUUCAAAAAAAUCCAAAAAAACCCGAGGUCGAAAAACUCGAGUUUAAUUGAUUUGAUUUGAUUUAUAGAGUUAAAAAUCCGACACAAAUAAUUUGAUUUGAUAUUAGAAAAACCGAACCAACCCCAUCAUUUACACCCCUAAUAAACACACACAAAAAGGAGGAAACAUUAUCAAGGAAGUACUUGAGUUAGUUGAGAACACAUUUCCAAACUUAUAUGUUAAAAUUACCAGAUGCAGAGAUGCUCAUGUUACACAAACCAUUUUACUGGUUACUUAUACAUUCCAUUACUAUAUUUCUUAUUACAGGGAAAAAAAGAACACAUAUUUUUUCCCUGUUUCAACAGACAGACACUAAAACACUAGAGAGACACACAUUUUUCAACUAUUUUCUUCAACCAUAGAAGGCUAACACCAUGAUCUCUGCUCUGUUUUAACUAUACUUUGUUCACUUAGAACAAGUGCAAGGGUUGCACUUGCAGUCAGAUCCACAUUUGCAGCCAUUCUCAGCAACAGGGGAUUCACCCAUCUCCAUGGCGCCGAAGCUUGUCUUCUCAGGUCCCACCCCAAGCACCAAAGUCUCGGUGGUUGUGAUGCUUUCGGUGUAGCUCAUGUCUGGGUACAUCUUGCAUCUACAAGACCAAAAUCCACCACAAACACAAAAAAUAAGAAACUUAUUGAUACCCCUCAAAACAUCAAACAAGAGGAAGCCUAAUCAGGGGCGGAGCUAGGUGGGGUUAGUGGAUUUGGACCCUAGCUUGUUCGUAGCUUUUCUGUAGACCCUAUAUUUGUAAUAGAAACAUAAGUAAUAACUUGUGAAACUAACAAAACGGAUGACAACUCAAUGACAAGGAAGGAGAAGGAAAUUUAGAACCCAAACUCCUAAUAUUGUUUCUGUCUCAACUUAAAGUGAAGGAGAGCCAAAACCCCAAAAAAAGAACUUUGUUGGGCAACACACAUACAAAAAAGGAACUUGUCACCGCAGGCGAACCUACAUAGAGUCCUCUGGGUGCUUGGGACUCAUUAACCUCGUCUCAAAAAUAAAAUAAAAAAUAUAUAUAUAUAUAGAAAUUAAAAGGUAUUUAUAUAAAAUUAACAUAGAGCACCCAAUGAACAGACUCAGUGACUCUUGAGUUGGUGCUUAAGGCUCUUUUAGUUUUGUUGAUCCUGAGUUUGAAUCUCACCUAUAACAUGUCUUUUUUUAUAAUUUUGACUCCACCCAGAGCUCACUUUUAAUGCGUCUUUUUUAUAUUUUUAACUCCACCAUUUUUAGAGCACUCACAACCAUAAAAUCCUAGAUCCACCACCGUUGCUUGUCACCAAUCCCUCAAAAUUAGCAUAAAAAUUGCCCAACACAAAACUAUUUUUGUGAUCCCACAAUUUCCCAUCAAAAUUCAAUUUUGCAUCAAUCCAUGCAUGGAUCAUCCAGAACAGGAUAAAGCAAAAUUUUGAUAAAAAGUACCUAAACAAAAAACCGAGAAAUCACACAACAAAUCUCCGAUUAAAAAAUUCACUCCUUACACACAAAACGCAUCCAUGCAUGGAUGACGGAUCACAACAAAAACAGAAAA